AUAGUUAUAAGUGCUGUUCUUCUUCCUAGAAAGACAAAUCCUCUUGCUGAAUAUUAAGAAGUUAUUUCUUGUACUUUGAGGAGGACUGAAAUAAAUGAGGGACCUGGGAUCACGCACGCUCAGCUAGCUCUGACUUAUGUUGUGUCUUUGUGAAGGAGUGACGAUUGUACCAGAAGAGCAUUUCCUGAUUUUAGAUGUCCCCCUAUGAAAGUGUUUAUGCAUUUUUAUGGUUACAGGGCACAUUUCUUUGAAAUCCACAAGGAUGUACUCAGCAAUUUAGAUAGGCUGGGGAUGACAAAACAGCUCCCAAAGUGACAGUGGGAUUGCUCCUUCCAGAUCUGGGGUUCAAGUUACCUGCCUGCUUAUGUCCUACCACCGCUGUUCUCCUGGUCUCAUCACGUAGCUCUGGUGCUUGAAGGACCAAGGAGCUGCUGCAAUUCAAUCAAAGGUUCUUGACCGGAGACUCUGAUUUGUGGAAUUUCUGAGUCCUCAUGGUUGCAAAGAAAAUCAGCAGGGACUGUCCAUGGCGCAUGAAAUAUUCCAGCAAAGCGUAACUGUGUUAUAGGUAAAUACAACUUCAGUGAAAGAAGAGGAGUUGCAGCCUCCUGUGCCAGGGAAACCAGAAUUUUGUCAGUUCAAACUGAUAAAGAAACGAAACUCUGCAGAUGACUGACUUCUCCAACACGUUAAACUCUCCGUUUAUUGAUACGCUGAUCUUCCACUGGGCUUCUGAAAAUCUCAUUUGCCUAUUCUGACGAGAACACCAUCACUGGCUGAACUGAAUUUUUUGCCUUGCAUUCUGAAACAUUCAGCACGUGUAGAAUUUUGGGAGUAAAGCCUGGAAACAGGACUGAUGGCAAUAAAAGGCAACAUCGCCAGUGUGUCUUCAGUUAACCAAACGCAUGCUCCAGUCCUACUGUUCCACUGCUAGGCAGGAUUUGGAGUACGUUUCAGUGGAUACCUCUGCAGCAUCUGUUAAGAAUGCAGCGUUUACUGAUACAAACCUCGCUGGAUGAGGGUGCACAUCUGCAGCCAGGAAUUUGCCAUGACAGACAAGAUGGUCACUUGAUGUCCUUUCCAGUAGGAUGGUUCUUUACAUUAAUCAGAUUGGUCAGAAAGGUGCCAAAAAAUAUGUUUGUAAAUAUGACUGGGUGUUAUACUUGUGUUAUGACUUUCUAGUUGAUCAACUUAGAAGAAGCAAUUCCUAUGCAUUUUGGUGGAAUUUAAUUCUUGCUGCUGUUAAUCUACUCAAAAUUAUCUGAGUUAUAAUUAUAGGAAUUAAUUUGCAAUUUUGACCAAUGAUCACUAACUUUAUAUGAUGUCCACUACCACCUUUAUAGUUUGUUGCCUUGCUCCUAAAUGGACAAUUUAUACAUAUAUUUUCCUCUGCAAAAUGACAGUGGAUGGUACAAAAUUUAUUUAUUUAUUCAUUCAUUCAUUCCUAUUUUGGAUAGCAUCUAUUCUUGAAGAAAUUAAAAAAAAAAAAAAGUAAAAACUGUCAUUCUUUGUUCUUCAUUCAUGAAGAAAUUCUCUCCUAAUUCAAAUUCAGUCAGUCUCGUUAAAUAACAGAGUUCUUAACUUUUGCAGUAAAUCUUGUUGUUAGGCCCAGAGUCUCUCCUCCAUAUGAGGUAGACGAUAAUUGGUCUGCUCUUGCCUGUCAUUUUCUAUCCAGAAAGCUUUCUUCCUGACCUUCAUAUUUAUCCAUGGAAAAUAUUUUCAACACAGCAUUGUAUGUUACAUUACAAAAUUUUAGGUUCACAGUAUAUUGUAGGAAUCAAGAAUAAAAUGUUCCUUCCACAGCAUCAAUAUCUGUCAGUGUUGACUCAGUUCAGUGUUAAUUAUGAGAUGUGGACCUGCAGAGCUAUACCAGAUAAACUAUGUCUUUGGAAUAAUUUAUUCUGGAGCUUUACACUCGGCUUUAUUUACCCCUCACACGUAGAAUGAAUUCUAGUUCUUUUCUAGCUAGCAGCCUGAACAAAUUUCAGAUAUUGUAUUCAGAAAUGAUUUCUGAUUUAGUGAUUUCAGUAACAGUGUUUUCAGCUGACAGUGGUAGCAUAGCUUUGCUGGCUUAAUAACACAAGAGAGAGAGAUGGUACCUUGUUAUUUAUUAUGCAUAUGUAUAUAUUUACUGUAUGUUCUAACAGUAAUCGUAUAAUCAUUUUUAUAAUGACCUUUGCUCUACUGUCUGCAGAUAUUUUAAUGCCAUUUUGACGAAGAACUUGUAAGCCAAUUUAAAAAUUUAUCUUUCUAUAUCAAUUAGUCCUCCUCAUUAUUCUCAAAGUCCCAGAAAUCCAAUUCCCUGUUUAGGAGCAUCAUUUUUGAGGCCUUCAACUGCUAUUAUCUUCUGUAUUAAUGACACGAUAAUUUCCUAUGCAGCCUGUCUCAAAUUGUUUUCAAUAUCUAUUGGUCUAAUAGGAAAAAAAUGAAAUAA